GGGCCCGCACAAGCGGUGGAGCAUGUGGUUUAAUUCGAUGCAACGCGAAGAACCUUACCAGGGCUUUGAACAUACUACAGAUUUUUUUGGAGAAAAAAAAUGUGCCUUCGGGAAUGUAGAUACAGGUGGUGCAUGGCUGUCGUCAGCUCGUGUCGUGAGAUGUUGGGUUAAGUCCCGCAACGAGCGCAACCCUUAUUUUUUAGUUACUAACUGUUAGGUUUUCUAGAAAGACUGCCGGUGACAAACCGGAGGAAGGUGAGGAUGACGUCAAGUCAGCAUGCCCCUUAUGCCCUGGCUACACACGUGCUACAAUGGCUAAGACAAAGAGUCGCGAGCUUGCAAGAGU
rnacentral:rRNA from 1 species